AGAGUUUGAUCAUGGCUCAGAACGAACGCUGGCGGCGUACUUAACACAUGCAAGUCGGACGAGAAAGGAGACUUCGGUCUCUGAGUACAGUGGCGCACGGGUGCGUAACACGUAAGUAAUCUACCCCGAACCCUGGGAUAACCCUCCGAAAGGAGGGCUAAUACUAGAUAGAGUCCCCGAGGUAUAGGCCGCGGGGGGAAAACGGGCCUCUGUUUCAUGCUCGUGAUUCGGGAUGAGCUUGCGGCCCAUUAGCUAGUUGGUAAGGUAAUGGCCUACCAAGGCAACGAUGGGUAGCUGGUCUGAGAGGAUGAUCAGCCACACUGGCACUGAGACACGGGCCAGACUCCUACGGGAGGCAGCAGUGGGGAAUUUUGCGCAAUGGGCGAAAGCCUGACGCAGUAACGCCGCGUGGAGGAUGAAGGCCUUCGGGUUGUAAACUCCUGUCAGGAGGAACGACGGGGAAAGGGUGAUAAACCCUUCCCUCCAGACGGUACCUCCAAAGGAAGCCCCGGCUAAUUCCGUGCCAGCAGCCGCGGUAAUACGGAAGGGGCAAGCGUUGUUCGGAAUCAUUGGGCGUAAAGGGCGCGUAGGUGGUUCUGUAUGUCUACCGUGAAAGCGUACGGCUCAACCGUAUUUUGUCGGUGGAAACUGCAGGACUUGAGGCUGGGAGGGGCUGGUGGAAUUCCCUGUGUAGCGGUGAAAUGCGUAGAGAUGGGGGAGAACACUCGUGGCGAAGGCGGCCAGCUAGACCAGUUCUGACACUGAGGCGCGACAGCGUGGGGAGCAAACAGGAUUAGAUACCCCGGUAGUCC
rnacentral:rRNA from 1 species